AACGAACGCUGGCGGCAGGCUUAACACAUGCAAGUCGAGCGCCCCGCAAGGGGAGCGGCAGACGGGUGAGCAACGCGUGGGAACGUACCUUUUGGUUCGGAACAACUCCGGGAAACUGGAGCUAAUACCGGAUAAGCCCUAACGGGGAAAGAUUUAUCGCCGAAAGAUCGGCCCGCGUCUGAUUAGCUAGUUGGUGAGGUAACGGCUCACCAAGGCGACGAUCAGUAGCUGGUCUGAGAGGAUGAUCAGCCACACUGGGACUGAGACACGGCCCAGACUCCUACGGGAGGCAGCAGUGGGGAAUAUUGGACAAUGGGCGCAAGCCUGAUCCAGCCAUGCCGCGUGAGUGAUGAAGGCCUUAGGGUUGUAAAGCUCUUUUGUCCGGGAAGAUAAUGACUGUACCGGAAGAAUAAGCCCCGGCUAACUUCGUG
rnacentral:rRNA from 1 species